rnacentral:rRNA from 1 species
GCGGCAGGCCUAACACAUGCAAGUCGAGCGGUAGAGAGAAGCUUGUCUUCUCUUGAGAGCGGCGGACGGGUGAGUAAUGCCUAGGAAUCUGCCUAGUGGUGGGGGAUAACGUUCGGAAACGGACGCUAAUACCGCAUACGUCCUACGGGAGAAAGCGGGGGACCUUCGGGCCUCGCGCCAUUAGAUGAGCCUAGGUCGGAUUAGCUAGUUGGUGAGGUAAAGGCUCACCAAGGCGACGAUCCGUAACUGGUCUGAGAGGAUGAUCAGUCACACUGGAACUGANACACGGUCCAGACUCCUACGGGAGGCAGCAGUGGGGAAUAUUGGACAAUGGGCGAAAGCCUGAUCCAGCCAUGCCGCGUGUGUGAAGAAGGUCUUCGGAUUGUAAAGCACUUUAAGUUGGGAGGAAGGGCAGUAACUUAAUACGUUGCUGCUUUGACGUUACCGACAGAAUAAGCACCGGCUAACUUCGUGCCAGCAGCCGCGGUAAUACGAAGGGUGCAAGCGUUAAUCGGAAUUACUGGGCGUAAAGCGCGCGUAGGUGGUUCAGUAAGUUGGAAGUGAAAUCCCCGGGCUCAACCUGGGAACUGCUUUCAAAACUGCUGAGCUAA